GCCUACAGCCAUGCCACCCUGAACAAGCCUGAUGUUGAUCUCGGAAGCUAAGCAGGGUAGGGCCUGGUUAGUACUUGGAUGGGAGACCACCUAGGAUAGACCAGGUGCUGUAGGAA
rnacentral:rRNA from 1 species